rnacentral:rRNA from 1 species
GAUGAACGCUAGCGACAGGCCUAACACAUGCAAGUCGAGGGGCAGCACAUGAGUAGCAAUACGAUGGUGGCGACCGGCGCACGGGUGAGUAUCGCGUAUGCAACCUACCCUCCACAGGGGGAUAGCCUUCCGAAAGGGAGAUUAAUACCGCAUAAAACAGGGGCCCCGCAUGGGGAUAUUUGUUAAAGAUUUAUCGGUGGGAGAUGGGCAUGCGUUCCAUUAGCUAGUUGGCGGGGUAAUGGCCCACCAAGGCAGCGAUGGAUAGGGGAACUGAGAGGUUUAUCCCCCACACUGGACCUGAGACACGGUCCAGACUCCUACGGGAGGCAGCAGUGAGGAAGAUUGGUCAAUGGGCGGGAGCCUGAACCAGCCAAGUCGCGUGAAGGAAGACGGUUCUAUGGACUGUAAACUUCUUUUGCACUGGGGUAAAACGGGGGACGUGUCCCCCCUUGCAAGUACAGUGCGAAUAAGCAUCGGCUAACUCCGUGCCAGCCGCCGCAGUAACAC